AGUCAUAUGCUUAUCUCAAAGAUUAAGCCAUGCAUGUGUAAGAAUAAACCGAAUAUGGUAAAUCCGCGAAUGGCUCAUUAUUCAGCCUCAAUUUAUUGGAUCUAACAAGUUACUUGGAUAACUGUUCAAAAUGAAGAGCUAAGACAUGCCUCGAAAGCAUAGCGCAAGCUAUGCUGCACUUCUUAGAAAAGACCAAUUGGCUUCGGCCAUCCAUUGGUGAAUCUUCUGAAAUUCGCAGAUCGCACGGUCUAGUACCGGCGACAUAUCCUUCAAAUGUCUGCCUUAUCAACUGUCGAUGGUAGUUUAUUGGACUACCAUGGUUGUAACGGGUAACGGAGAAUUAGGGUUCGACUCCGGAGAGGGAGCCUGAGAUACGGCUACCACAUCCAAGGAAGGCAGCAGGCGCGCAAAUUACCCACUCUCAGUGCGAGGAGGUAGUGACGAAAAAUAACGAGACAGUCUUCUAUGAGGUCUGUCAUCGGAAUGGGUACAAUUUAAACCCUUUAACGAGGAUCUAUUGGAGGGCAAGUCUGGUGCCAGCAGCCGCGGUAAUUCCAGCUCCAAAAGUGUAUAUUAAAAUUGUUGCGGUUAAAAAGCUCGUAGUUGGAUCUUCGACCAUCAAGAGCGGUAGCCCAUUGGGUUUCACUGCUUCUUGUGGUCUCCUUACUGGUUUUUCCUUGGUGCUCUUAACUGAGUGCCUUGGUUGGCUAGUGCUUUUACUUUGAAAAAUUAGAGUGCUCAAGCAGCGUUGCCUGAUAGUGUGCAUGAUAUGGAAUAGGACUCGGUUCUAUUUUGUGUUUCGAGCUCGAGUAUGAUAGA
rnacentral:rRNA from 1 species